UACGGGGGGGGGCAAGCGUUGUUCGGAAUUACUGGGCGUAAAGGGCUCGUAGGUGGCCAACUAAGUCAGACGUGAAAUCCCUCAGCUUAACUGGGGAACUGCGUCUGAUACUGGAUGGCUUGAGUUUGGGAGAGGGAUGCGGAAUUCCAGGUGUAGCGGUGAAAUGCGUAGAUAUCUGGAGGAACACCGGUGGCGAAGGCGGCAUCCUGGACCGAUACUGACGCUGAGGAGCGAAAAGCCAGGGGAGCAAACGGG
rnacentral:rRNA from 1 species